GAGACCUCAGGUCAGGCGGGGCUACCCGCUGAGUUUAAGCAUAUCAAUAAGCGGAGGAA
rnacentral:rRNA from 3 species